rfam:Paenibacillus mucilaginosus 3016, complete genome.
AGCAUGCUGUAACCGCACGAAGCGGGUCUUUAAGUGCUGGCUCUUUGGGGCCAAGCCACCUGGCUUAGGCGAGUCUGAGACAUGGG